CGCGGGGUGGAGCAACCCGGUAGCUCGCCAGGCUCAUAACCUGGAGGUCGUUGGUUCAAAUCCAACCCCCGCAACCA
rnacentral:tRNA from 2 species